rnacentral:rRNA from 1 species
UACAGAGGGGGCAAGCGUUAUUCGGAAUUAUUGGGCGUAAAGGGCGCGUAGGCGGCUUUGCAAGUGACGGGUGAAAUCCCUCGGCUUAACCGAGGAACUGCCUGUCAAACUGCAUGGCUUGAGACCGGGAGAGGUGAGUGGAAUUCCCAGUGUAGCGGUGAAAUGCGCAGAUAUCAGGAGGAACACCGGUGGCGAAGGCGGGUCUCUGGGCCGAUACUGACGCUGAGGAGCGAAAGCGUGGGGAGCGAACAGG